GCAUUGGUGGUUCAGUGGUAGAAUUCUCACUUCCCAAGUGGCAGACCCAGGUUCAAUUCCCUGCCAAUGCA
rnacentral:tRNA from 1 species